CCUCUCUCAGCUCUGAUUAAUCAUACUUAGUGUGUGGUUGGCAUAUUUUUAGACAGAGAGAGAGGAAGGCCCUUCUAAUGAAUGACGGACGGCCCCAAGUGGCCUUUCUGUUCCUCAGGGUGCAACAGUU